rnacentral:rRNA from 1 species
UACAGAGGGGGCAAGCGUUGUUCGGAAUUACUGGGCGUAAAGGGCGCGUAGGCGGCCUUCUAAGUCGAACGUGAAAUCCCUGGGCUCAACCCAGGAACUGCGUCCGAUACUGGUUGGCUUGAAUCCGGGAGAGGGAUGUGGAAUUCCAGGUGUAGCGGUGAAAUGCGUAGAUAUCUGGAGGAACACCGGUGGCGAAGGCGACAUCCUGGACCGGUAUUGACGCUGAGGCGCGAAAGCCAGGGGAGCAAACGGG